rnacentral:misc_RNA from 1 species
GUAGGUGAACCUGCGGAAGGAUCAUUAAUGAACCUUUGAGGAAUUGAGCUGGUUCUUACAAGUGCUCGUCCUCUUAUCCUUUAUACACCUGUGCAUCUUUUUCAAGGGAGAGAUUAGUAGGUCGCUUGCGGCUGAAGGUCCUUCCUUUGUUUCUUACAUACACUUUAUUUAAUCAUUGGAAUGUAAUUUAUGAAAAUAAAAUACAACUUUUGACAACGGAUCUCUUGGCUCUCGCAUCGAUGAAGAACGC